rnacentral:lncRNA from 1 species
AUAGCUUAUAACAGAUAUAUCAUAUCAUAUAUAUGCAUAGACAGGUACAAUGUCUACCAGCAACAAGGGUGGUAGCAGCGGUGACAACGGACAACAAAACCGGCAACAACAUUGCAGUAUCCUGCAUAGAUAGGUUUUUAUUACUGCAAAAUUGAUCCCGGCAGCGCUACCGGUAGUUGCGGUAGAUAGGAUUGUACAUGCAGGUCUCUGCAUAUUGCACCAGGUCUCUGGGCGCAGGCAGACGGGUCGCCAAACCUGCAGAGGAAAGUUUGAGACUUUGGAGGCGAAUGGAAAGAUUUGGAGGUCUACUCAGGGAAACGGAAGCAGAACAGAAAACUUUGGAAAUGUAUCUACAGAAGGAAAGGAGGGUGAAGCGUACCGAGCUCAUAGGCUUUUGCAGCCACGGCGGCAGCAAUGUGAGCGGAGAUCUUUCUGAUGCUGCUGAAGGGCGGGAAGAUCGAUCCCUUCUCAAAGUUCUCCUGAUUGGCCUGAUCAGCUAGUGCUUCCGCU